rnacentral:rRNA from 1 species
CGUAGGGUGCGAGCGUUGCCCGGAUUUAUUGGGCGUAAAGGGCGCGUAGGCGGCUCGGCACGGCCGUUGUGAAAUCGCCCGGCUCAACUGGGCGGGGUCAGCGGAUACGGUCGAGCUUGAGCAAGCUAGGGGGUAAUGGAAUUCCCGGUGUAGUGGUGGAAUGCGUAGAUAUCGGGAGGAACACCAGUGGCGAAGGCGGUUACCUGGGGCUUUGCUGACGCUGAUGCGCGAAAGCGUGGGGAGCGAUCCGGAUUAGAUACCCGGGUAGUCCACGCCGUAAACGAUGCGGACUAGGUGUCGGGGGUAUCGACCCCCCCGGCGCCGCAGCUAACGCAUUAAGUCCGCCGCCUGGGGACUACGGCCGCAAGGCUA